rnacentral:rRNA from 1 species
UGGGAAUUUUGGACAAUGGGCGCAAGCCUGAUCCAGCCAUGCCGCGUGCGGGAAGAAGGCCUUCGGGUUGUAAACCGCUUUUGUCAGGGAAGAAAUCUUCUGAGUUAAUACCUCGGGAGGAUGACGGUACCUGAAGAAUAAGCACCGGCUAACUACGUGCCAGCAGCCGCGGUAAUACGUAGGGUGCAAGCGUUAAUCGGAAUUACUGGGCGUAAAGCGUGCGCAGGCGGUUUUGUAAGACAGAGGUGAAAUCCCCGGGCUCAACCUGGGAACUGCCUUUGUGACUGCAAGGCUUGAGUGCGGCAGAGGGGGAUGGAAUUCCGCGUGUAGCAGUGAAAUGCGUAGAUAUGCGGAGGAACACCGAUGACGAAGGCAAUCCCCUGGGCCUGCACUGACGCUCAUGCACGAAAGCGUGGGGAGCAAAACAGGAUUAGAUACCCUGGUAGUCCACGCCCUAAACGAUGUCAACUGGUUGUUGGGAAGGUUCCUUCUCAGUAACGUAGCUAACGCGUGAAGUUGACCGCCUGGGGAGUACGGCCGCAAGGUU